GCUGGGCGUGGUGGCGCACGCCUGUAGUCCCAGCUACUCAGGAGGCUGAGGCAGGAGAAUUGCUUGAACCCAGGGAGCAGAGGCUGUAGUGAGCUGAGAUCAUGCCACUGAACUCCAGCCUGGGUGACAAAACAAGACUCUGUCUCAA
rnacentral:SRP_RNA from 1 species